UCCAGUCUGUCAAGAUCUUUUGGGAUCCUGACUGUCAUCAAGCGUGCUACCUCUCCCUUCCAGCUUUGUGUGAUCUCCAGAUUUGAUGUCCCUGCAAAUGGCUCAUCAAUCAUACUCUCCUGUCAUUUUAGCACCUAAGGAUGCACUUAUUAAGGACCAAGUGAUUUGAACUCAUCACAGACAACUAGGUGGUCUGUUAAGAUCUCCUUACUUAGGAGGACCCUGCAAGCUUCAAAUGGUCUGGAGAAUGGUGAACUUCCUGUUGGUGUCCUAGGAACAUCUUUGGACCAGCUGAUGACAUUGUUUGCACUGGGAGCAAAAGACACACUGAACAUAGAAUCAUUUUAAGGCUCCACAAGUUGCCUAGUAAAGAAGUGACAUCAUGCCUAAGAGGAACUUCUUGAGCACCUCCAUGAAUGGGAGAAUGAUUUCCAGCAUCAGGAGCUAGGAGUUACCCCUUUGCCACAGGUACUCUCUGAGCCUGGGCCACUUUCCCCUGGACUCUAUAUGUACAUAUGUGAGGGCAUGUCACAGACUUCUGGCGGGGGAUGUUUUGUACCAACUGUUGUUAAACUGGAUGAUCUUGGUAAAUGUUCCUCUCUAAAAGGUACUUAAAGCUGGCUGACUAGACUGAUUCAGCCGAUAAUCUUGAGGGAAAAUACGCCAGUGGGGGCUAAAAGUGACAGCAUUAAAAUAUCACCCCUGACUCCUCAGGGUCAACCUAUAACCUUUAGAGAAAUAUAUAGCCUUCCUCCAGAACCUAAGUCCCAUCUGUGAGAGUGGGAGCUGAGAUAAGGAUUCUCAGAACUUAUGCAGACUAUCCUUUGAUCUUCAUUUUCUUCUCAAUGUUGCUAAAAACAAAAAUAAACCCCUUUUCUUUGUGGUCCUUAGCUUUCCUCACUAGCCUCAGCUAUUUCUUAGCUUUACUACUCCUAACAUUCGCUUUUUUCUUGGUAGGACCAUGACAUAUCUUGGAGCAGGUAGGUGGUGUAGUAGAUAGAGUGGAUAGCUUGGAGUCAGGAUGAGUCAUUUUCCGG